rnacentral:lncRNA from 1 species
GAAUAUAACAACUUCGAGGAAACAUUUAAUCAAAGACCAAAGCUUUUUAAACAACUGAGAGUUUUUAUAAGAAAAAGACCUCGUACAGUAGUCCCCACUUAUUCAUGGGGGAUACAUUUCAAGACCCACAGAGAAUGCCUGAAAUCACUGAUGUACCAAACCCUAACCAGGUUCUUAGGAUGAGCUACUAAAUGACAAAUGGGUGGGUAGUACAUAGAGUGUAGAUACACCGGACAAAGAAAUGAUUCACAGCCCAGGCAGGACAGAGAAGAUCACACAAGGUUUCAUCACAGUACUCAGAAAACCACACCAUUUAAAAGUUAUGAAUUGUUUAUUUCUGGAAUUUUCCAUAUAAUAUUUUUGACCACAGUUGCCCAUGGAUAACUGAAACCAUGGAAAGUGGAACCGUGGAUAAGGCAGGACUACUGUACCUAUGACAUCAAUGGUAGGAACCUGAAGCGUAAUUCUGCUGUAGUGGAUUUUUUCAAAAGAAACUUGAAUGUGGGAAAUUCUUCAGCUUAAGCUCAGCUCUAACUAAACAUAAGCGAAUACAUACAAGGGAAAGACCCUAUCAAUGUACUAAGUGUGGUGAUGUCUUUUGUCAUAGUACAUCCUUAAUUCG